UACGUAGGGGGCUAGCGUUGUCCGGAUUUAUUGGGCGUAAAGAGCGUGUAGGCGGCCAGGUAGGUCUGGUGUGAAAACUCGAGGCUUAACCUCGAGAUGUCAUCGGAAACCAUCUGGCUAGAGUCCGGAAGAGGAGAGUGGAAUUCCUGGUGUAGCGGUGGAAAUGACGCAGAUAUCAGGAGGAACACCGGUGGCGAAGGCGGGAUCCUGGCCAGUACGUGACGCUGAGGAGCGAAAGCGAUGGG
rnacentral:rRNA from 1 species